rnacentral:rRNA from 1 species
GUACAAGCCAAAUUAAGGUGAAACCGCGAAAGGCUCAUUAAAUCAGUUAUGGUUCCUUAGAUCGUACCACACCUACUUGGAUAACUGUGGUAAUUCUAGAGCUAAUACAUGCAAACAGAGCUCCGACCGGAGACGGAAGGAGCGCUUUUAUUAGAUCAAAACCAAUCGGUGAUGGGUCCGCCCGUCACCGUACAACUUGGUGACUCUGAAUAACUUACUGCUGAUCGCACGGUCUAGCACCGGCGACGCAUCUUUCAAAUGUCUGCCUUAUCAACUGUCGAUGGUAGGUUCUGCGCCUACCAUGGUUGUAACGGGUAACGGGGAAUCAGGGUUCGAUUCCGGAGAGGGAGCCUGAGAAACGGCUACCACAUCCAAGGAAGGCAGCAGGCGCGCAAAUUACCCACUCCCGGCACGGGGAGGUAGUGACGAAAAAUAACGAUACGGGACUCAUCCGAGGCCCCGUAAUCGGAAUGAGUACACUCUAAACCCUUUAACUAGGAUCAAUUGGAGGGCAAGUCUGGUGCCAGCAGCCGCGGUAAUUCCAGCUCCAAUAGCGUAUAUUAAAGUUGUUGCGGUUAAAAAGCUCGUAGUCGAAUCUGUGUCCCGCGCCGCCGGUUCAUCGUUCGCGGUG